ensembl:lncRNA
CACCACUUGUAAGUGCUCACGGUGGGAUUCAAACCCAGGGCAUGUGAUUCUGGAAGCCACCCUCUAUUCCUUUUUCUCUGACAGAGCCUCGCCGUGGAGUCCAAGCUGGCCUUGAACUCACAGCAUGUGCUGGGAUUACAGGAUAAUGGGUGAUUGGACCAUGUUAUUCUUACUUCUAGCAACAGUGAAAAUAAUUCUGAAGCAAAGCAAGCAGAAGACAGAGUUAAUAGCAGGAAUAUCUGUCCAGGCCCUAGGAAGGCUCCGAUCCCAACUUUCCCCAUUACGUGGGUGGUAACGUGAGACACGGCAGCAGGCUGAGACCCGCCCAAGGCCAUACAGCCUCAGGAGCUCCUCCCUCUUCUCCAGGACCGCCAUUCCCUAGAGCACCCCCAAGUGGGAUUGAGGCCGGGGCCCAACACUGAGAUACAUUCCUGUUCGUUUUUAAAAAGCUUGCGAUGCAGGUUCUGGCUAAGUCACUAAAUUGCCCUAGCUGGGCUAGAACUCGAGAUCCUUCUGCUGCAGCCUCCCAGAGCACAAGAUUACAGGUCCAGGGGACACGAUUCAAAAUGCACGAACAGAUGUAUCCGAGAGUUAAGUUUCCUUCCCACACCUCUCCCUCCCCC